rnacentral:rRNA from 1 species
AGGCCUUCGGGUUGUAACCUCUUCAGCAGGAAGAAGCGCAAGGGCCGGUCCCUGCAGAAGAAGCCCCGGUUAAUUACGUGCCAGCAGCCGCGGUAAUACGUAGGGCGCAAGCGUUGUCCGGAAUUAUUGGGCGUAAAGAGCUUGUAGGCGGUUUGUCGCGUCUGGUGUGAAAACUGGAGGCUCAACCUCGAGCUUGCAUCGGGUACGGGCAGACUAGAGUGCGGUAGGGGAGACUGGAAUUCCUGGUGUAGCGGUGGAAUGCGCAGAUAUCAGGAGGAACACCGAUGGCGAAGGCAGGUCUCUGGGCCGCAACUGACGCUGAGGAGCGAAAGCAUGGGGAGCGAACAGGAUUAGAUACCCUGGUAGUCCAUGCCGUAAACGUUGGGCACUAGGUGUGGGGCUCAUUCCACGAGUUCCGUGCCGCAGCAAACGCAUUAAGUGCCCCGCCUGGGGAGUACGGCCGCAAGGCUAAAACUCAAAGGAAUUGACGGGGGCCCGCACAAGCGGCGGAGCAUGCGGAUUAAUUCGAUGCAACGCGAAGAACCUUACCAAGGCUUGACAUGCACGGGAAGCCACCAGAGAUGGUGGUCUCUUUGGACACUCGUGCACAGGUGGUGCAUGGUUGUCGUCAGCUCGUGUCGUGAGAUGUUGGGUUAAGUCCCGCAACGAGCGCAACCCUCGUCCCAUGUUGCCAGCGGGUUAUGCCGGGGACUCAUGGGAGACUGCCGGGGUCAACUCGGAGGAAGGUGGGGAUGACGUCAAAUCAUCAUGCCCCUUAUGUCUUGGGCUUCACGCAUGCUACAAUGGCCGGUACAAAGGGCUGCGAUACCGUAAGGUGGAGCGAAUCCCAAAAAGCCGGUCUCAGUUCGGAUUGGGGUCUGCAACUCGACCCCAUGAAGUCGGAGUCGCUAGUAAUCGCAGAUCAGCAACGCUGCGGUGAAUACGUUCCCGGGCCUUGUACACACCGCCCGUCAAGUCACGAAAGUCGGUAACACCCGAAGCCCAUGGCCCAACUCUGCU